rnacentral:rRNA from 1 species
UUAUUGGAGAGUUUGAUCCUGGCUCAGGAUGAACGCUGGCGGCGUGCCUAAUACAUGCAAGUCGAGCGAAUGGAUUGAGAGCUUGCUCUCAAGAAGUUAGCGGCGGAC